UUCUUAUUAAGAGUAGGUGGAGGGACUAGCCCUGUGAAGCCCGGCAACCGACUUAACGUUUUGUUAAGCACGGUGCUAAAUCUUGCAGCAGUAGCUGAGAGAUAAGAA
rnacentral:ncRNA from 2 species